rnacentral:rRNA from 1 species
AGUCUGAUGGAGCAACGCCGCGUGAGUGAAGAAGGGUUUCGGCUCGUAAAGCUCUGUUGGUAGUGAAGAAAGAUAGAGGUAGUAACUGGCCUUUAUUUGACGGUAAUUACUUAGAAAGUCACGGCUAACUACGUGCCAGCAGCCGCGGUAAUACGUAGGUGGCAAGCGUUGUCCGGAUUUAUUGGGCGUAAAGCGAGUGCAGGCGGUUCAAUAAGUCUGAUGUGAAAGCCUUCGGCUCAACCGGAGAAUUGCAUCAGAAACUGUUGAACUUGAGUGCAGAAGAGGAGAGUGGAACUCCAUGUGUAGCGGUGGAAUGCGUAGAUAUAUGGAAGAACACCAGUGGCGGAGGCGGCUCUCUGGUCUGCAAGCUGACGCUGAGGCUCGAAAGCAUGGGUAGCGAACAGGAUUAGAUACCCUGGUAGUCCAUGCCGUAAACGAUGAGUGCUAAGUGUCGGGAGGUUUCCGCCUCUCAGUGCUGCAGCUAACGCAUCAAGCACUCCGCCUGGGGAGUACGACCGCAAGGUUGAAACUCAAAGGAAUUGACGGGGGCCCGCACAAGCGGUGGAGCAUGUGGUUUAAUUCGAAGCAACGCGAAGAGCCUUACCAGGUCUUGACAU